rnacentral:rRNA from 1 species
AGGACGAACGCUGGCGGCGUGCUUAACACAUGCAAGUGGAGCGACGAACCGGGGCUUGCCCCGGGGCAGAGCCGCGAACGGGUGAGUAACACGUGGGUUACCUGCCCCAAUGACCGGGACAACCCGAGGAAACUCGGGCUAAAUACCGGAUGUGGUCUUCGGACGAAAGGAAGCUUCGGCCUCCGCAUUGGGAUGGGCCCGCGGCGCAUUAGCUUGUUGGUGGGGUAACGGCCUACCAAGGCGACGAUGCGUAGCUGGUCUGAGAGGACGAUCAGCCACACUGGGACUGAGACACGGCCCAGACUCCUACGGGAGGCAGCAGUGGGGAAUCUUGCGCAAUGCGCGAAAGCGUGACGCAGCAACGCCGCGUGGGGGAAGAAGGCCUUCGGGUUGUAAACCUCUUCAGUUGGGACGAAGGUCGCGCGGUUAAUAGCCGUGGCGGCUGACGGUACCUUCAGAAGAAGCCCGGCUAACUACGCGCCAGCAGCCGCGGUA